AUUGAACGCUGGCGGCAGGCUUAACACAUGCAAGUCGAACGAGUGGCGGACGGGUGAGUAAUGCUUGGGAAUCUAGCUUAUGGAGGGGGAUACCUACGGGAAACUGUAGCUAAUACCGCGUACCAUCGGAUGUGCACCAGUGGGAUUAGCUAGUGGGUGGGGUAAAGGCUCACCAAGCCGACGAUCGCUAGCUGGUCUGAGAGGAUGACCAGCCACACUGGGACUGAGACACGGCCCAGACUCCUACGGGAGGCAGCAGUGGGGAAUAUUGCGCAAUGGGCGCAACCCUGACACAGCCAAGCCGCGUGAAUGAAGAAGGCCUUCGGGUUGUAAAGUUCUUUCGGUAGCGAGGCGUUAACUACAGAAGAAGCACCGGCUAACUCCGUGCCAGCAGCCGCGGUAAUUC
rnacentral:rRNA from 1 species